rnacentral:rRNA from 1 species
GACAGAGGCCCCAAGCGUUAGGCGGAAUCACUGGGCUUAAAGCGUGUGUAGGCGGACGCCUAAGUGUCUUGUGAAAUCCCACGGGCUCCACCCGUGGAACUGCUGGGCAUACUGGGCGUCUUGGGCCAACUAGGGGCAGCCGGAACAAGCGGUGGAGCGGUGAAAUGCGUAGAUAUCAGGAAGAACACCCGUGGCGAAAGCGGCUCUCUGGAACGGUACUGACGCUGAGACGCGAAAGCGUGGGGAGCGAACAGG